GGGGAUUUAGCUCAGCGGCACAAGCACCUGCCUGGUGAGCAGGUGGUCGUGAGUUCAAUCCCCG
rnacentral:tRNA from 1 species